rnacentral:rRNA from 1 species
CCCUUAGAUGUUCUGGGCCGCACGCGCGCUACAAUGAUGAAUUCAACGAGUUUAUAACCUUGGUUGAAAAGCCUGGGUAAUCUUUUGAACUUUCGUCGUGAUGGGGCUAGACCCUUGCAAUUAUUGGUCUCCAACGAGGAAUUCCUAGUAAACGCAAGUCACCAGCUUGCAUUGAUUACGUCCCUGCCCUUUGUACACACCGCCCGUCGCACCUACCGAUUGAAUGGUCCGGUGAAAUCUUCGGAUUGAGACUUUGAUUUCUUCACGGAAAACGCUGUUUUAAAAAGUUGAUUAAACCUUACCAUUUAGAGGAAGGUGAAGUCGUAACA